AUACUACUCCAUCCGUUUGGAAUUACUUGUCGCGAAAAUGGAUGUAUCUAGACGUAUUUUAGUUAUAGAUAUAUCCAUUUCCGAGACAAGUAAUUUUGAACGGAGGGAGUAUAUG
rnacentral:pre_miRNA from 1 species